UAACUUAAAUGGUUGUAUGAGAAAUUAGUAUAAAAUGUAAAAUCAAUAAGAUUUAAGUAGUGUCUGUUAUUGUGUCACAACACACUGAGUGACCGUGCUUGUGAUGCAGGAGGUCCCCGGUUCAAGCCUCAGCAGAGUAGUGUAUUUUAUUUGCCGUCACCCGGCAGAUCAUUAUCUUGAAGCCUUAAGGGUAGGUUAGUUGGUCAGAGGAUGGAGGUUGGCGCGACACACUAAGCAACUGUGGCUGCGAUGCAGGCGGUCCCUGGUUCGAGCCCCGGGCAGGGCAGUAGCUGUUUUUGCGUCACAUCACCCGGCAGAUCAUCAUCUUGAACCCUUUUCACUGUUUCUGUGUUCUGUCGUUAUCUCUGUUAAGGAUGUUCCACAACACACUCCUGUAAAGCGCAUUCGGGCAACUUUGUAGUGAAAAGCACAAUUUAUAAAAAUAAAUUGAAUUGAAUUGAGGGCGGUAGAUCGGAGGAUGGAUGGUGGCGCGACGCGCUGAGUGACCGUGCCUGCGGUCGAGGAGGUCCUUGGUUCAAGCCUCAGGCAGAGUAGUGUCUGUUAUUCAGCCUUGGCAGAAUAGUCACAGCGCAGACCCUAAAGCAACAACCUUAACACUAACACACAGAGACAGGUGGUACGUGUGCGAGUCCUUUAUUUGGCAAGAUAGGGAAAAAAAACAUAUAUACGAUAAACAACGAGCAGCAAGUGGCACUGCAGGCUAAGCCUUUGUAUCUAUGAUCAGAAGGUUGCUGGUUCAAGCCCAGCCUUGGCAGAAGCGAUAGGUGAUGCAUGUGUGAGAAUUCUUUAUUUGGCAAGAUACGGAAAAAAAACAUAUAUAUGAAAAAGAGCAUACAAGUAGGGGUGGCGAGUGGCGCUGCAGGCUAAGCCUCUGUAUCUAUGAUCCAAAGGUUGCUGGUUCAAGCCCAGUCGUGGCAGAAGUGAUAGGUGAUACAUGUGUGUGAAUCCUUUAUUUGGCAAGAUAGGGGAAAAAAAGACAUAUAUACGAAAAACAGCGUACAAGCAGGGGUGGCGAGUGGCGCUGCAGGCUAAGCCUCUGUAUCUAUGAUCCAAAGGUUGCUGGUUCAAGCCCAGUCGUGGCAGAAGUGAUAGGUGAUACACAUGUGUGAAUCCUUUAUUUGGCAAGAUAGGGGAAAAAAAGACAUAUAUACGAAAAACAGCGUACAAGCAGGGGUGGCGAGUGGCGCUGCAGGCUAAGCCUCUGUAUCUAUGAUCCGAAGGUUGCUGGUUCAAGCCCAGUCGUGGCAGAAGUGAUAAGUGAUACACGUGUGUGAAUCCUUUAUUUGGCAAGAUAGGGGGAAAAAAAAGACAUAUAUACGAAAAACAGCAUACAAGCAGGGGUGGCGAGUGGCGCUGCAGGCUAAGCCUCUGUAUCUAUGAUCAGAAGGUUGCUGGUUCAAGCCCAGCUUUGGCCAGAUAGUCACAGGGCAUUUUUGUUUUUGCCAAAAAAUUUUUUUUGAAAAAUGGACUGAUGUGUGGCUAAUCCUCUGUGCUUGUGAUCAAGUCAGUGUGCUCGAGCCUGCCCUCAGCAGAAUAGUUACAGGGCAGGCCCUCGAGCACACUGACUGAUCCUGCAGUGUGAUCUCUCUCUCUCACACACACACACCACACUCCACACACACCACACCACACACUCCUCCACACACCACACCUCCACACCACAGGGCCAGUCAGUGCAUUCAAGGGUCUGCCCAGCAACCACCCUGCUGAGGGCAGGCUCGAACCGCCAACCUCAACUUUCCAAUCACAAGCACAGCGACUUAGCCCAGUGAGCCACUCACCAGUCCGACUCAGCCCAGCUCUGAAUUUAACAUUUGACUCUUAAACACGUACGGGUCAGAGCAUAUCCAGUUUACGGAUCUGUGGCGAUUUCUGAACAACUUUUUAUCCGGAUCCGGUUCAGACUCAACUUGCUAUGUGGCCCCUCAGAAUUGGGACACCUGCCUUUACACACAAAUGAACUUUAAUGACAUCCCAUUCUUAAUACAUAGGCUUUAAUAUGGAGUUGGCAAGAUAGGGGAAAAAAAGACAUAUAUACGAAAAACAGCAUACAAGCAGGGGUGGCGAGUGGCGCUGCAGGCUAAGCCUCUGUAUCUAUGAUCCAAAGGUUGCUGGUUCAAGCCCAGUUGUGGCAGAAGUGAUAGGUGAUACACGUGUGUGAAUCCUUUAUUUGGCAAGAUAGGGGAAAAAAAGACAUAUAUACGAAAAACAGCAUACAAGCAGGGGUGGCGAGUGGCGCUGCAGGCUAAGCCUCUGUAUCUAUGACCCGAAGGUUGCUGGUUCAAGCCCAGUCGUGGCAGAAGUGAUAAGUGAUACACGUGUGUGAAUCCUUUAUUUGGCAAGAUAGGGGGAAAAAAAAGACAUAUAUACGAAAAACAGCAUACAAGCAGGGGUGGCGAGUGGCGCUGCAGGCUAAGCCUCUGUAUCUAUGAUCAGAAGGUUGCUGGUUCAAGCCCAGCUUUGGCCAGAUAGUCACAGGGCAUUUUUGUUUUUGCCAAAAAAUUUUUUUUGAAAAAUGGACUGAUGUGUGGCUAAUCCUCUGUGCUUGUGAUCAAGUCAGUGUGCUCGAGCCUGCCCUCAGCAGAAUAGUUACAGGGCAGGCCCUCGAGCACACUGACUGAUCCUGCAGUGUGAUCUCUCUCUCUCACACACACACACCACACUCCACACACACCACACCACACACUCCUCCACACACCACACCUCCACACCACAGGGCCAGUCAGUGCAUUCAAGGGUCUGCCCAGCAACCACCCUGCUGAGGGCAGGCUCGAACCGCCAACCUCAACUUUCCGAUCACAAGCACAGCGACUUAGCCCAGUGAGCCACUCACCAGUCCAACUCAGCCCAGCUCUGAAUUUAACAUUUGACUCUUAAACACGUACGGGUCAGAGCAUAUCCAGUUUACGGAUCUGUGGCGAUUUCUGAACAACUUUUUAUCCGGAUCCGGUUCAGACUCAACUUGCUAUGUGGCCCCUCAGAAUUGGGACACCUGCCUUUACACACAAAUGAACUUUAAUGACAUCCCAUUCUUAAUACAUAGGCUUUAAUAUGGAGUUGGCAAGAUAGGGGAAAAAAAGACAUAUAUACGAAAAACAGCGUACAAGCAGGGGUGGCGAGUGGCGCUGCAGGCUAAGCCUCCGUAUCUAUGAUCCGAAGGUUGCUGGUUCAAGCCCAGUUGUGGCAGAAGUGAUAGGUGAUACACGUGUGUGAAUCCUUUAUUUGUCAAGAUAGGGGAAAAAAAGACAUAUAUACGAAAAACAGCAUACAAGCAGGGGUGGCGAGUGGCGCUGCAGGCUAAGCCUCUGUAUCUAUGAUCCGAAGGUUGCUGGUUCAAGCCCAGUUGUGGCAGAAGUGAUAGGUGAUACACGUGUGUGAAUCCUUUAUUUGGCAAGAUAGGGGAAAAAAAGACAUAUAUACGAAAAACAGCAUACAAGCAGGGGUGGCGAGUGGCGCUGCAGGCUAAGCCUCUGUAUCUAUGAUCCGAAGGUUGCUGGCCCUAGUCGUGAUAGGUGAUACAUGUGUGUGAAUCCUUUAAUUGGCAAGAUAGGGGAAAAAAAGACAUAUAUACGAAAAACAGUGUACAAGCAGGGGUGGCGAGUGGCGCUGCAGGCUAAGCCUCUGUAUCUAUGAUCAGAAGGUUGCUGGUUCAAACCCAGUCAUGGCAGAAGUGAUAGGUGAUACACGUGUGUGAAUCCUUUAUUUGGCAAGAUAGGGGAAAAAAAGACAUAUAUACGAAAAACAGCGUACAAGCAGGGGUGGCGAGUGGCGCUGCAGGCUAAGCCUCUGUAUCUAUGACCCGAAGGUUGCUGGUUCAAGCCCAGUCGUGGCAGAAGUGAUAAGUGAUACACGUGUGUGAAUCCUUUAUUUGGCAAGAUAGGGGAAAAAAAAGACAUAUAUACGAAAAACAGCAUACAAGCAGGGGUGGCGAGUGGCGCUGCAGGCUAAGCCUCUGUAUCUAUGAUCAGAAGGUUGCUGGUUCAAGC